AUUGAACGCUGGCGGCGUGCCUAACACAUGCAAGUCGAGCGGUAACAGGUGUAGCAAUACAUGCUGACGAGCGGCGAACGGGUGAGUAAUGCUUCGGAAUCUGCCCAUGUAGUGGGGAAUAACCAGCCGAAAGGUUGGCUAAUACCGCAUACGACCUACGGGUGAAAGCAGGGGAUCGCAAGACCUUGCGCUAUUGGAUGAGCCGAAGUCGGAUAGCUAGUUGGUAGGGUAACGGCCUACCAAGGCGACGAUCCGUAGCUGGUCUGAGAGGACGACCAGCCACACUGGGACUGAGACACGGCCCAGACUCCUACGGGAGGCAGCAGUGGGGAAUAUUGGACAAUGGGGGCAACCCUGAUCCAGCGACGCCGCGUGUGUGAAGAAGGCCUGCGGGUUGUAAAGCACUUUUAGU
rnacentral:rRNA from 1 species